CCUACGGGGGGCAGCAGUGGGGAAUAUUGCACAAUGGGGGAAACCCUGAUGCAGCGACGCCGCGUGAGUGAAGAAGUAUCUCGGUACGUAAAGCUCUAUCAGCAGGGAAGAAAAUGACGGUACCUGACUAAGAAGCCCCGGCUAACUACGUGCCAGCAGCCGCGGUAAUACGUAGGGGGCAAGCGUUAUCCGGAUUUACUGGGUGUAAAGGGAGCGUAGACGGCAGCACAAGUCUGGAGUGAAAUCCCGGGGCUUAACCCCGGAACUGCUUUGGAAACUGUGCGGCUGGAGUGCAGGAGGGGUAA
rnacentral:rRNA from 1 species